UACGUAGGGCGCAAGCGUUAUCCGGAAUUAUUGGGCGUAAAGGGCUCGUAGGCGGUCCAUCGCGUCGGGAGUGAAAAGCUGGGGCUUAACUGUGGGCUUGCGGUGGAUACGGGCAGACUUGAGUUCGGUAGGGGAGACUGGAAUUCCUGGUGUAGCGGUGAAAUGCGCAGAUAUCGGGAGGAACACCAAUUGCGAAGGCAGCUCGCUGGGACGUCACUGACGCUGAGACGCGAAAGCGUGGGGAGCAAACAGG
rnacentral:rRNA from 1 species